rnacentral:rRNA from 1 species
GACGAACGCUGGCGGCGUGCUUAACACAUGCAAGUCGAACGGAAAGGCCCUGCUUGCAGGGUACUCGAGUGGCGAACGGGUGAGUAACACGUGGGUGAUCUGCCCUGCACUUCGGGAUAAGCCUGGGAAACUGGGUCUAAUACCGGAUAGGAGCCAAUUUUAGUGUGAUGGUUGGAAAGUUUUUUCGGUGUAGGAUGAGCUCGCGGCCUAUCAGCUUGUUGGUGGGAUAAUGGCCUACCAAGGCGGCGACCGGUAGCCGGCCUGAGAGGGUGGACGGCCACAUUGGGACUGCGAUACGGCCCAGACUCCUACGAAAGGCAGCAGUGAGGAUAAUUACACAAUGGGCACAAGCCUGAUGCAGCGACGCCGAGUGGGGGAUGACGGCCUUCGGGUUGUAAACUCCGUUCGCUAGGGACGAAGCUUUUUGUGACGGUACCUAGAUAAGAAACACCGGCUAACUCCGAG